AGUGAACGCUGGCGGUAGGCCUAACACAUGCAAGUCGAACGGCAGCACAGGAGAGCUUGCUCUCUGGGUGGCGAGUGGCGGACGGGUGAGGAAUACAUCGGAAUCUACUCUGUCGUGGGGGAUAACGUAGGGAAACUUACGCUAAUACCGCAUACGACCUACGGGUGAAAGCAGGGGACCUUCGGGCCUUGCGCGAUUGAAUGAGCCGAUGUCGGAUUAGCUAGUUGGCGGGGUAAAGGCCCACCAAGGCGACGAUCCGUAGCUGGUCUGAGAGGAUGAUCAGCAACACUGGAACUGGGACACGGUCCAGACUCCUACGGGAGGCAGCAGUGGGGAAUAUUGGACAAUGGGCGCAAGCCUGAUCCAGCCAUACCGCGUGGGUGAAGAAGGCCUUCGGGUUGUAAAGCCCUUUUGUUGGGAAAGAAAUCCAGCUGGCUAAUACCCGGUUGGGAUGACGGUACCCAAAGAAUAAGCACCGGCUAACUCCGUGCCAGCAGCCGCCGUAA
rnacentral:rRNA from 1 species